GAAUCUAUUGGGAAUUGGUUCUUACGUCUCAAACAGCUCGCUAUGAACUGCAAAUUUGGUGGUGAGUUGAACAACAUUUUGAAGGACAAAUUUAUUGCUGGACUUUUGCCUGGUCCUAUUCUAGAAUUUGCGAGGAAGAUGAAUCCAGAACUCUUCAAGAAAUUAUCGAAAUUGCAGCUAAGCGGGAAGGAAGCUUAAGGGAAGCUAGAACGGAAAAUCCAAUCAAUUUGUGAAUAAAGUAAGCAAAGUUUACGAUGAAUCGUCUAUUGAUGACAGUUUUGUUGAUGAUGUUGUUAGUGGUUUGCAUGAGCCAUUCGAGAGGAGAAUCUGCCAGCUGCUCAUGCACAAGAGAGUACAGUCCAGUUUGCGCUGAACAAAAUGGAAAGCAACGAACAAUUAACAGCUCCUGCCUUCUCAAUUGUCAACAAAAGCAGUCUCCAGGAUUGAAAAUGAAACAUCAAGGAGAAUGUAAAUAGUACAGAAUGUGGAAAAAACUUUAUCAGAUUUAUAACUCAAUCUGUAUAUCAAUGAACAAUACAUAUGUUGGGUAUUCCAAAUUUCAAGUGGUUUUUCAACAUAAACAACAGAUAAUGAACUGAUAAUUCUCGUGAUAAGAUAACAACACACAAUAUUACAUAGACAGUUGAGUUUUUUUAAAUUUUGGAAAGUGUUGGGUUGAACCUGUUGUUCCUCUUCCAGUCAUUGACAUGCUGUGUGAUUGUAUCUAUAAAUAAAUGUUCAAUGCUU